rnacentral:rRNA from 1 species
CCACUUACAGAUGGACCCGCGGCGCAUUAGCUAGUUGGUGAGGUAACGGCUCACCAAGGCAACGAUGCGUAGCCGACCUGAGAGGGUGAUCGGCCACACUGGGACUGAGACACGGCCCAGACUCCUA